rnacentral:rRNA from 1 species
CCUACGGGCGGCAGCAGUGAGGAAUAUUGGUCAAUGGUCGGGAGACUGAACCAGCCAAGCCGCGUGAGGGAGGAAGGUACAGAGUAUCGUAAACCUCUUUUGUCAGGGAACAAAGACUGGGACGCGUCCCCGGAUGAGUGUACCUGAUGAAAAAGCAUCGGCUAACUCCGUGCCAGCAGCCGCGGUAAUACGGAGGAUGCGAGCGUUAUCCGGAUUUAUUGGGUUUAAAGGGUGCGAAGGCGGUGUGUUAAGUCAGCGGUCAAAGCGCGGGGCUCAACCCCGGACUGCCGUUGAAACUGGCAGUCUUGAGUUGGAGAGAGGUAUGCGGAAUGCGCGGUGUAGCGGUGAAAUGCAUAGAUAUCGCGCAGAACUCCGAUUGCGAAGGCAGCAUGCCGGCGCCACACUGACGCUGAGGCACGAAAGCGUGGGUAUCGAACAGGAUUAGAUACCCUAGUAGUC